UCCUUCCCUUACUCGGUACACAGAAGAGAAAAAAAAAUUGACAUUGAAAGAAAGAAGCCGCUGCCUGAAAAACAACGAAAGAUGCCCGGUGCUCUGGAAGAGGUAUUUUGUUCCUCGAGACUGGAUGAGGCUUGAAUGGAGGCAGAAGGCAAAAGGUCUACUUUGUUAUGAAGAAGAAAGUGUUCUCCUCAGAGUUUGAGGAGAAGAUGAAAGUGCCUUCUGGAAAACGAAAAAGUUGAGCCGUAACAUCACCAAGUAUUCCUCCAGGAAAGCUUGAAGUGAGUCAGGCUUUAUGACUGCAAGGAACAGAAAUGGACUGUGACUGAUUUCAAAAGGAAAGAAGUCUGUUGAAAGGAUGUUGAGAGAUCACAGAAAGGCCGGGAAAGCCAGAGAACCAGGCUCUGAGGAGGAGCGGGGAAGAGAGAGCAAUGAGGUUGGAAACUGCGAUGGGUGGAGAGAGUGUCCUUGUGGGGUCUGAGAGCCCAAAGUGAGAGAUGGGGAUGUGGUGGUGGUGGGGGGGGGGGGGGCUGUCCUGAACAGAAGGGCCCCAGGAAUGUAAGUCCUCCUCAUCCUCUCUCUGCUUCUCCUCCCAUUCUGCUGCUGCACCUCUCAUCUCUCCCCAUCUUCCUCAACUCUCUUUCUCCUCAGCCCCUUGCCCCAGCCCGUUUCACGCCCUUAUUGAGGCUGACCUAUACUUGGAAGCAAGGGUUGGCAGGGUUUCUCACUCUAACAUCAAUGGCAGGUGACUUUUCUUACAAAUGAGAGAAGUGACUGGGUUUUGUGCCUGCGGUAGCUGAUCCUGGUCUCUGUGCCUACACCACUGAGGCACCCCAGAGUCCUUGCUGUGCCCUGUUCUAGUUGGAGUUGGGGGUUAUAUUAGGUCAGAUUUUCCAGAGGCAGUAAGAACCCUUGGCAGAAGCCUGAGGCAAAACAGCUGAUGGGGUGCCCGGGUGGCUCAGUCGGUUAAGUAAUCUGCCUUUGACUCAGGUCAUGAUCCCAGAGUCCUGGGCUCGAGCCCCACAUUGGGUGCCCUGCUCAGCGGAGAGUCUGCUUCUCCUCUGUCCCUCUCCCCGUCUCUUUCUCAAGUAAAUAAAUAAAAUCUUGGAAAAGAAAAAAAUCCUGAAAGACAGGCAAAACCCCACCUUACAUAGGAGCCUCUGGGAUUGUAAACUGUCAACGAUAGCUUUGGCUUGUAAGAAAUGGUUAAAAUUGCAGUUAUUUUCUCCUUCACAACUUCUGUGGCUGCCGUCUUUCCUUUUCACUCUCUGCCAGACAGGAAAUGGUUCAUGUGUACGCCCCUCCCUGGAGUGCUUUACUGGGCUUUUGGACUUCAGUCUACCCAGUGGUCUUGCAAUCUCAGCUCUCUGUUGGGCUCAAAAGAGGAAUGAUUCGGCCUGGACCCAUGCAUCCCAGCCAUGGGAGAAACAGCACCACGUCUUGGACACCAACGCAGAGCAUAUAUGCGGCCUCCUGGAGAAUCUCGCUCAGCCCUUUGAGGUGUUGCAACCCAGGUGGCAGUUGGCACUAAAACAUCCAGAAUAACGUUUGACCACAUGCUUGGACUCCAUGGCCCAGCCAGGUUGAUACAUAAGAUUAACCAUCACAGCAUAUAAUACUUAAAGUGCACAAAAUCAAAGACACAGAGCACAUCUUGAAAGAAGCCUGAAGAAAAAAACAACCUGGUUAUAGAAUAACAAGGAUUGAAUAUUACAUCAGAAUUCUCUGCAGAAACCAUACAAUCAAGAACAGAGAGUACAGUGAAAUAUUUAAAAGUGCUGUAAAAAAAUCUC